CGCUCCCGGUAAUGCCUUACACAUGCAAGUCGAACGGAUUUAAGGAGCUUGCUUCUUAAGUUAGUGGCGAACGGGUGAGUAAUGCAUAGGAACGUACCCAGAAGUGGGGGAUAACGUAGCGAAAGUUACGCUAAUACCGCAUAUUCUCUGAGGAGGAAAGUGGGGGACCUUCGGGCCUCACGCUUUUGGAGCGGCCUAUGUCCGAUUAGCUAGUUGGUGAGGUAAAGGCUCACCAAGGCGACAUCGGUAGCUGGUCUGAGAGGAUGAUCAGCCACACUGGGACUGAGACACGGCCCAGACUCCUACGGGAGGCAGCAGUGGGGAAUUUUGGACAAUGGGCGCAAGCCUGAUCCAGCCAUUCCGCGUGGGUGAAGAAGGCCUUCGGGUUGUAAAGCCCUUUUGUCAGGGAGCAAAUCCUGCGUGUGAACAAUGCGUGGGGAUGAGAGUACCUGAAGAAUAAGCACCGGCUAACUACGUGCCAGCAGCCGCGGUAAUACGUAGGGUGCAAGCGUUAAUCGGAAUUACUGGGCGUAAAGCGUGCGCAGGC
rnacentral:rRNA from 1 species